rnacentral:rRNA from 1 species
AACGCAUAUUGCACUCUUUAGUAUUCUGGAGAGUAUGCCUGUUUGAGCGCCAUUUCUCUCUUAAACCUUUGGGUUUAGUAAGAUGGGGCGUGUUGUCUCUCGGGACAACUGCUCUGAAAUGACUGAUGGCAGUUACUCUCAUACUAGUUUACUAGUGAUAGACUGGGAAUUUCAAUAUUAGGUUUUACCAACUAUUGAAGGAUUACUUGUUCUGUUAUUAGUAUUAGUCUAGUUGGGUGUUGACGCCUUUAUAACUCAUAAUCAUUAAAAUUGACCUCAAAUCAGGUAGGGAUACCCGCUGAACUUAA